CCAAUAGCGUAUAUUAAAGUUGUUGCAGUUAAAAAGCUCGUAGUUGAAUUUCGGGGUUCUACCGUUGGUCGGGCAAUAGUCUGUACUGGCGUGUGGAAUUUCUACCUUCUGGGGAACCAUCAUGUUAUUAAUUUAGCGUGGUGGGAAACCAGGACCUUUACCUUGAAAAAAUUAGAGUGUUCAAAGCAGGCUUACGUCUGAAUACAUUAGCAUGGAAUAAUAAAAUAGGACGGUGGUCCUGUUUUGUUGGUUUCUGAAUCACCGUAAUGAUUAAUAGGGAUAGUUGGGGGCAUUAGUAUUCAAUUGUCAGAGGUGAAAUUCUUGGAUUUAUUGAAGACUAACUUCUGCGAAAGCAUUUGCCAAGGAUGUUUUCAUUAAUCAAGAACGAAAGUUAGGGGAUCGAAGACGAUCAGAUACCGUCGUAGUCUUAACCAUAAACUAUGCCGACUAGGGAUCGGACGAUGUUAAUUUUUCUUGACUCGUUCGGCGCCUUACG
rnacentral:rRNA from 1 species